ACAACAGAGCCGUUGGGCCGAGUGAGGAUGACGCGGUGGAGGAUCAAAGAGAGAGGCGGGAAAAAGGAUUCAGAAAUGACACUAUCAACCUGGACUGUUUCCAAAACUCAGCCUGCUAGCAUUAGCAAUGAGCCUGGGGAGGACGAUGCUAACGUCGUAGCGGAGGAGGAGAGUAACGGCAGCCACGGAAGUUCAGCUGAGCUACACUCACCUGUUCAACCGCUCCACCCUCACCUGCACCGGAGCUCACACCGAGGCGGAGACCCGGUACCGGAGCCAUAAAAUCCAGGAAGAAAGCAGAGGGAACUUCCAUCCUGUUACCUACAGGGACACCGUGGGUCUGGAGGAGGGGACUGGAAGAGGAGUCAGGGUGGACGACAUCAAACUGGCCACGAUGGGACAUGUGGAGGAGGGUUACAAGGAUCCAGAGCAGCAGAGCUCGGCAAUGAAGGCUCAGACGGCUGGCUCCUUCGUGGUCAAACCUAUCCCAAGAUUCAUUGUGCGCCGGGAAUGAAAGCAAACAGCACUGACAGAGAGCCACUUUUAAAUGGCUGCCUCCAUCCCCUCUUCCCAUGGCACAGUCAGCUCAACCAGCAGCAUUGAUUUUAUGUCCAUCGCCCAGAGCACCAUGUUCUGUCACAGUGUGGUGCUGCAGGUCUCUAAUGGAAAAUGUAGCUGCCUGCCCUGGUCCACCUCCAUCCUCCACUCUGCUCCUGACAAGAGAAGCGUGGGUGCUGGUCUCCCACUGGUGAUGUCUGUGGGUUCCCCUUGCCUCCUUCUCUCCACCACCUCUGCCGGCUUCCUCAGCACUGGAUCAUGUAACUUGGCUGGUUGUCGCAGGCAUACAACCACGAGGCGAUAAUUGUAGUUUUUACCUACAUGUUUACAUUUUAGGAAAUAAUCCCCAUUAAAACUAUUCUCAAUCAGCUGUGAUCAGCUCCUGUUUGCAGUGUAGCUAUGGAUGUACAGUCAACUGUCACUGGAUCACUGAUACUGAAGAAAACUUAAAAACAUGAGGAUUCUCAUCCAGGUUCUGCAGUUAAUAGGGUUUUUGGAUGUGUUAUUUGCCAUUGACACAACAACUGAUGUUAUCCCCUAGAAGUGUUUGUGAUUCACAGUGAAUCUAAAAGUGUGAUGUAUCAUGUCUGUGUUCAGGUUUGACUGAGUUAUGACUCAGAGAAGAAGGAUUGUGAUUUUAGAUGGAAAUUUCGACAAGUUCUGCUCAGGAUGUAAAAUAAAGUAGCCUACUUCUUUCUGAAACAAACAUAAAAUAUAAACAGCAUGCAGGCAAAAUUAAAGUGCAUUUUCUUUAACAAAGGAAAAAAUUAAGUUUCAAUAGCAUAUGCUUUGGAUGAAUACCUAUGGCUUGUUAUGAAGCAUUGUCAGUAGAUUCUUUUUAAUAAUGUUCUGUUCCUGUGUUCAUCCAUGAUGCUGAACUAGUGCUCACUCUCCACACUUGUGCAGGUGCAGACAGGUCAGCUCUUGUGUUGCGUGUCGACACUGAACAGGUGGGAGGCGGGACUAAACUACACAGUUCUUCUCAGCCACAGACAACAGAGUAUUAACCACAGGUGAUUGGUUUUAAGGUGAUUGCUGACUAGAAACAUUAAUUCUUAACUACCAAUCAUGUGUUUCAAUUUAAAACUCAUUCCUAUAAUGGUGCGAGCAUCAUAUAUCCAGUAUUAGCUGGAUUGUAGCCUGUACAUACUCAACAUUUGCAUAAUAAUUUUGCCUGAGUUCACUGAAUCAAUAGUCUUUCAGGAAUUUUAAUUUCACUGUUGAAGUGUCAUGGCUGAGAGUGAACUUCCUUCAUUCUGCCUGAAAGUAAAAAUCCAGGAUUUUUCUCAGUCAUAUUGCAAAAGAUCUGAUUUAGUGGUUAAUCCUCUUCUUCUUUGC